rnacentral:misc_RNA from 1 species
AUUGUUUCUCACUCGAGAGUUUUCCUCAGAAGCAGAGCAAGGAGCCUGGAGGAAGUCCUGGCAAAAUGGCGAGUGGACUUGUAACAGCUGUCGGGAUCUUUCUCAUUACAUGUCACAAGAUAUUCGUUAUUGGGCAAGAAUGAUACAGUCAACACAUCACUGGUGGCAUUCAACGAAUCAUCUUUAAUGAUUAAUGUAGGCUACCUGCAGGUCACUGUCCCACGCCAGCGAUAUUCUCCUUCUGUUAUCUUCGACCAUUGCGUAUACAACAUCGCCGUUCGUCCUGGUGCAAAGGUCGCACUCUCUGAGGGGAUUAAGGACAGUAAAGACAAUACAUUAAAAUCACUGGAAAACAAUAACACGAUGACACCAAACACAUACUAUUCCCAUAGUUCAAACCAUCGCAGAUAUUUAUAUCCGUAUAGUUGACUUUAUUGGUGUUUCUGCCUUACAACUCACUCUUACUCGAUGUUUGUACUCGUCCUGUUGACCAGUGGGUAUAUAAAUAGUGUAGUCAUACCAGUGAUAAAGAAAUCAACUUCAAAUAAAAUAAUUUUAAACAGCAACACUAAGAGAAAGAAAAAGUAGCUCAAUAUAACAUUUUCAAAAUAUAAAGCUGCAUUCUGAAAAGUUUUUGUCAGUUUCAGUGUGACUAUAAGUAAUAAAUUCUACAUGCACAUAAAAUAAAACUAAAAUCAUGCAUAACAUGCUUUGGAAGCUUAUGAACUCAGUCAGCUAAAGUUACCUACAAAAAAACCGACAGAAAUAUUUAUCUGCUUGUAAUACACGUGUGUCUGCUAGUGUGUAUUAAGUAGCUGAUACAAUAGACAGACUUACGAUGCUUCCCGUUCAAGGAAAAUGUCACUAAAUCGUCUCUUUAAACUUGGGCUAAUAAAUCUACGGCAUUAAUCACUUAUUUUAUGUUGGAAGGAAAAUCCGUUUGUCAAAAGCUUCCUGACGCUACUAGGCGUGAGCACUGUACAACGGUAGGACUUGAACAUCUUCUACCUUUGACCUUUUCCUUUACAAUUGAAAAUGUCAAGCAGGUGAACAAAGCACAAAGGUAGUACACUAAAACAGUAUUGUGGUUUCCAUCCAUUAUUUACGUAUCAAAAAUACACACACACAGAGCUAUGUAUGCAAUUUAUUACACAUGUGCGUGGGCUUUUUUUUUCCACCGGUAGAUUUCCAAUGAAAUGUGAAGAACUAAUCGUCCUCUGUAAGAGUUGUCUUUUGUAAACAAGACCCUGUGCAGUAUUAUAAAAAAUUCAAGUCCGCCAGUCCCAGUUAAAGGGACGACGACGACAAUGACGACGAUGAUGAUUGUAACGGAUACGUUUUUAGUAGAGGGAGUAAGGCGGGAAGGUCGACAACCGUGGUUGAUCUGAUCUAGGGUAGUGGGCUGGAUGUUGUUGCCCUUGAGCAAAUGACGUAAGUUGUGAUGUCAAAACAACGUGACGGCAAAAAGGUGACGAAAAAGAUAGAGGAAAAUAACGUUAGGAAAAAACGGUAGGCGGAGAGUAAACGGCGGAACAGAAGUUGGAAUUGGUGGUUUUUCUCUGCACUUUCUCGCUACUGCUGCGACCGCGGAAUAAGUGUUACCGGGGAAGUAAUACUGUGUUUAUACUACAGGUGGAUAUACUUCACAGAUCGUGAUUUACUGUAGUCCGUGUCCGCGCCGUGGGGAGCUCUGUGGCUUGGGCAUCCCGCAGUACAGUUUCUUGGUGGGGCCAAGAAACCACACACUGGUGUGAGUGAGAAAACGAUGAACCAGGGCAGAAAACUUGGUGUGAGCAAGGGGAGGGAGGUUACACCGCAUCUCUCUACGCUUGCGCACCAACCACCAUCCGUCGCCCGGAAAGGACAGUUCCAAACAGACUGAGUUUAAACCGCCGGUGGAGGGAAGGUUUCCUCUCGGCCUUCAGUUAACCUAUCCUCAUCCUGCUAAACACCCAGGAGGCAACAGCAGGUGCAAGUCCGUGACGUUCUGCUUGUAAACUGUCGGUAUCGUAAAACACUUUUUAAAAAAAUGAUAAAUCGACUUAUAGGAAAGAAGAUUAGUGUUACCCAUAACAAUAGAGGACUUGGGAGGGUUGAAAUGACUUUAAAAUAUAAAAAGGUUUGGGUUUCGUCAAGAACGUACAUUUUAUACUAUAAUUCAGUGGAUAUUAACAUUGGUAAGUCAUCAAGAGAGGACAGCAGCGGCGACAGCGGAAUACCUUAUCAGUAUUUAUGUGAAUCAACUUUAUUUUUAACUCUAAUAGUGCGUUGGAUGAAUGAUAAAAUAUAUUGGUAAUAUAUCUUGUGUGGCGAAAGAAGGAGUGGAUUUCUGAUUGUUGAUACUUUGUCCUUUUUCAUUUAAAAUUGUGUUUGAAUUCAAUAAUUAUUGGUGCCUCUAAGGAGGGACGCCCACCCUCAAGCAAUCUGAUUAUAUUGGUUUAUGGAGAGAAUGCGCGUGUCUGCGGACGGUCCGUGACAUAGUGUAUGUAUGAAACAAAUGAUGAUGAUGAUGAUGAUAAAGGCAACAUGGGCGAAUUACGUAACAUUACUUAAUGACAUCAAAACCCAAAAAAGUGUUUCUCUAUUUCUCAUGUUUCACGCCCCUGUUGCAAAACAGCUAUUGGCGUUUCAUUUCGUGUAGACAAGUGCUUACAUCCGACUUAAACAAGAUGAUAUCAAAUAUAAGGGAAGUGUAAAUAGGAUUUCUGCAGGGUGGGUCCACAAAUUCAAGUACUGAGUCGCUUGUGGUCGUGCAUGUGUGGGGUCCAAUGUCACUAUCUCUCAGAAACAUUGUCCACGCCAUCCACGUAUCACAACUACAAAGACUGCCAGACACACUAUCAGUUUCAUGUUUUGUGCCAGUCUUCCUUCCGUGAGCUCACAACCGGCUUACCAUGAGAUGUCUUCCGGCGAAUGAGCCUUGGACAGCAGCAGCAACAACAACAACCAAAAAAAGGCCUGAGUGAUACAAGAGAGUGUUUACUCGAGAGCUAAACGAGCCUUUGCUUACUUGCAAGAUGGCGCAUCCACUUGCUACAGCGGUGACACCUCUCCUGAUCUGUCUCAUCAUGUGUCACAGGAUGUUGGCUAUUAGCAUAUCGCCCAACAAUGAAGUUGAGGAGCUGUCUGGGAACCAGGUGAUGGUGUCAUGUAACCAGUUAUCUAAAUACUCCGUAAUCGUGUGGUCCAUCAUACCUUUACAUGGACAAGAGAAACCGGUGGGAAUGUGCGAUGGAGAGAGAUGCAUAUCAUCACAUGGUCAGAAAAUAGAUGUGCAACGACCUAACUAUUCGAGUUCUAGGCUUGUCUCUGUGAAUGUCACCCGGGAGUGGGCGGGUACAGUGGUGUGUACAGAACGUUUCACCAGCAGAAGUGAACACUCUGUGAACAGUACACUGGACGUUUACUACAAUUCUGGAAUCACCGACGUCAGUAUGGUGGUAAACCGCGAGGACUGGACUCUAAUUACCAGUUUUAAGGUCGCAAAAAUCUUCUCCGCUCUUGGUAACUAUGGAGCCAAGCUCAACUGUACCUCCUUGAAUUCUACAGUCAACAUGUCACUGGUGCCAUACAAUGAAUCAUCGUUGGUGUACAACGUGGGCUACUUCCAGCUCACUUCCUUCAAGUCACAGUUUGACAGUCAUGUUAACCUCACAUGUUUAUCCACAGUGGUAGUAUACCCUGGUGCCAGACUUGAAAGACUUAACGAAAGGGGAGGGGUGAAAGAGUCAUCCACGCCACAAAUAGUUUGUGACCUUACCUACAUUCCCGAGGACGGUCCCUUCCAAUGCAGCUGUGACACUGAGAGUCUAGGGAGCCCGGAGGGCAGACUGACCUGGCGUCUAGGAGAACAAGUUCUAACUUCCGGUGACUACGGAGUCAAACGGCUUCCGCUUUCGUCCGACAUCAUUAACCGCAGCCACCAGGGGGAAAAACUCGUGUGUGAAGUGGAAUGGCUUUACGAUAAACGUUCAGAGAUAAAUAUAAUGGUGGCGUAUGGACCGGAUGACGUGGUCAUCAAGCCCUACAUUAUUCUUUUUCGAAAAGACAAUAGCGACGAGACAUUCCUUGCUUCCUAUCCGGCGACCAGAGGCCAUGUCUACUUACCUCCAGAUGUCACAUCCGAGGUAACCCUGGUAUGCGAGGCAAGGAAUGUCCAGCCCUUGAAGUCAGAAAUGGUCACGUGGGGCGGCCUGUGCUACGGUCAGCGAGGUUUUAAUUGUAAACUGACCUUUAAAGGUAAAAAGGAUGACGGGAAGGAGGUCACGUGCUCGUUCAUCAACAACGUCAACAACAACCGCAAAGCCAACACCAGCAUCAUCAUCAACGUUUCAGAUGGACCAGACAAGGUCCUAAUAAACAUCCAGUACCACACUAUUUCUACACCUGGCAAGUGCCACGUGAUCCUUACCUGUGAGGCGCCUGGGGUCAAGCCCUCGACCUAUGACAUGUUUACGUGGGGUGGGAUGUGUGAAGACCAGCAGGGCUCCAGGUGUGUCAUCAUAGCCGAUGAAAAAGAGGAUGACGGGAAAGAAGUGACGUGCACUGUUACCAAUCAUGUCAACCACAGACGUACUGCCAGCGCCAUUGUCACAUUGAUGUUGUCAGGUGAGGUCAGGAGCCGUAUGCAAGAAACUCCGUUAGACAAUCGUUGCGAUAGAGCCUUUCGGUCUGAAAGCUAUCGCAGCGAUAGUCCUCCCACUAACGUGGUAUGCACACUCCGAUAGAGCUUCACUAGCUUUCAGCGCGGUAAGGCAGUUCUAUAAAUAACUUCUGGAGAUUUCCAAUUUUCAUGCGUUACUGCGCAUGUAUUUGCUUUGAAAGUAAAGUUUACUUUUUUUCCCGGAUGAUGUCUUAGUUGCAGAAAAAUGGGAAACGAAACAUAUACGAAAAGCCAAUUUCAGUGACAUGGAAAUAAAAAUUUUGUUAGAGGAGAUAUCCAUGGAAAACGAAAUUCUUUCCAGCUGCUUCUCCAACAUAAGAACGAUACAAAAAAACAACAACAAAAAAACCACAAAAACAAAAACAAACAAAAGAAACAACAACAAAAAAAAACCCAUUGCGGCCAAGGUGUCGGCAUGCGGGGUGGCUGUUCAGACGGUACCAGAAAUAAAAGACAAAUGGAUCUACUAACAUCGACAACGCUUCAAAAAGUAAAAAGCGAUGCAAAUAAAACAGGUGGAGACAAGGGAAUGCCCCCCUCUGAAUAUGAAGAGUCUGUUGCUGCAAUCCUUGGCAAUAACACCUACUCUGAUCAGUGGUAUUGGAGUGAAUGGUACAAAUGCACAAGAGGUAAGCAGGCUGAAUGAAUUCAUGUUUCAUGAUGGCUCUAUUGUGAAGUUUGUAUGCAGAAUGCUGUGUUCUGAAGUUUGUGUGCAACAUGCUGCCAUCUCAACAAGUAAUACACAAUAUCUUAACAUUUACAUAGUGAAAUUUAUUUUACACUCAAACAGUCACAAUCACAUUUUAAAACAAAAGCAAAAUGAAAAGUGAAUAAGUGCAUCCACACACAAAUAUAUAUAUACAUCUAAAUGAUAUUUUCAGUCAAUUUUUGCAGGAUUGAUAAUUUUCUUCCACUUUACACUAAAUCAAUUUGUGGAUAGCAUCUUUUUUCUUUAGAAGGAUAUUGAUGUAUAUGCAGAAAUCUAAUUGCCACUCUUGCAGCCAUCAUUUACUACAUAUUGCUCUGCCACAGAAUAUUCAAGUCCCUCCAAAUCGUUGGCAAUCUUCUACCCGCCAACACCACCCUGGACAACCGGAAAACCUUUAGAAUGAAAAAAAGAAAAACAGCCAGCAAAGGAGAUACAGAGCAACAACCCAUGAUAGAACAUUUAAAAGACCAAAAAGUGGCCUAUAAUAAGCCAAAUGGAACCAGAAAUUGAAAUCUCGAACUAGAAGUCUGGGUGCUAAAAGCUAAAAUAAGCAAGCUAGACAAAGAGAUAAAUGAUAGUUAAAACUUGCAGUACUGCCAGGGUAUGCAUUUUUGUAUAUUAGAGUAGAUCUGCAUACAGUUAAAAAAUGUGGGUUACAGUACAAGACCUCAACACACACACAAACUCACACACCUGUAACACAUAU